rnacentral:rRNA from 1 species
AAUCAACGCUGGCGGCGUGCCUCAGACAUGCAAGUCGAACGCGAAAUCUCCCUUCGGGGAGAAAGUAGAGUGGCGUCCGGGUGAGUAACACGUGGGUAAUCUACCUUCGGGUGGGGAAUAACGACCGGAAACGGUCGCUAAUACCGCAUAAUGCAGCGGCACCUAAUGGUGACAGUUGUUAAAGCGGGGGAUCGCAAGACCUCGCGCCUGAAGAGGAGCCCGCGGCGGAUUAGCUAGNGGCAGGGUAACGGCCUACCAAGGCGACGAUCCGUAGCCGGCCUGAGAGGGGCGGUCGGCCACACUGGCACUGACAC